CCUACGGGAGGCAGCAGUGAGGAAUAUUGGUCAAUGGACGAGAGUCUGAACCAGCCAAGUAGCGUGAAGGAUGACUGCCCUAUGGGUUGUAAACUUUUUUUAUAAAGAAAUAAAACGAGGCACGGGUGCCUUUCGCAUGUACUUUAUGAAUAAGGAUCGGCUAACUCCGUGCCAGCAGCCGCGGUAAUACGGAGGAUGAGAGCGUUAUCCGGUUUUAUUGGGUUUAAAGGGAGCGUAGAUGGGUUGUUAAGUCAGAUGUGAUAGUUUGCGGCUCAACGGUGAAAUUGCAAUUGAUACUGGCAGGCUGGAGUACAGAUGAGGUAGGCGGAAUGCGUGGUGUAGCGGUGAAAUGCUUAGAUAUCACGAAGAACCCCGAUUGCGAAGGCAGCUUACUAAACUGUGACUGACAUUGAUGCUCGAAAGUGUGGGUAUCAAACAGGAUUAGAUACCCCAGUAGUC
rnacentral:rRNA from 1 species